rnacentral:rRNA from 1 species
CAUGCAUGUCUCAGUACGAGCCGUAUUAAGGUGAAACCGCGAAAGGCUCAUUAAAUCAGUUAUGGUUCCUUAGAUCGUACCCACAUUUACUUGGAUAACUGUGGUAAUUCUAGAGCUAAUACAUGCAAACAGAGCUCCGACCGGAGACGGAAGGAGCGCUUUUAUUAGAUCAAAACCAAUCGGUGUCGGGUUUACUCGUCAUCGUACACCUUGGUGACUCUGAAUAACUUUAUGCUGAUCGCACGGUCUCGCACCGGCGACGCAUCUUUCAAAUGUCUGCCUUAUCAACUGUCGAUGGUAGGCUCUGCGCCUACCAUGGUUGUAACGGGUAACGGGGAAUCAGGGUUCGAUUCCGGAGAGGGAGCCUGAGAAACGGCUACCACAUCCAAGGAAGGCAGCAGGCGCGCAAAUUACCCACUCCCGGCACGGGGAGGUAGUGACGAAAAAUAACGAUACGGGACUCAUCCGAGGCCCCGUAAUCGGAAUGAGUACACUCUAAACCCUUUAACGAGGAUCAAUUGGAGGGCAAGUCUGGUGCCAGCAGCCGCGGUAAUUCCAGCUCCAAUAGCGUAUAUUAAAGUUGUUGCGGUUAAAAAGCUCGUAGUCGAACUUGUGUCCCGCGCCGCCGGUUCAUCGCUCGCGGUGUUUAACUGGCGUGUCCGCGGGACGUCCUGCCGGUGGACUCAGUCCUUUAGGGGGCGGUCCAACUUCAAAUCCCACCGCGGUGCUCUUUACCGAGUGUCGAGGUGGGCCGGCACGUUUACUUUGAACAAAUUAGAGUGCUUAAAGCAGGCUAAAACUUUGCCUGAAUACUGUGUGCAUGGAAUAAUGGAAUAGGACCUCGGUUCUAUUUUGUUGGUUUUCGGAACUCCGAGGUAAUGAUUAAUAGGAACGGAUGGGGGCAUUCGUAUUGCGACGUUAGAGGUGAAAUUCUUGGAUCGUCGCAAGACGGACAGAAGCGAAAGCAUUUGCCAAAAACGCUUUCAUUGAUCAAGAACGAAAGUUAGAGGUUCGAAGGCGAUCAGAUACCGCCCUAGUUCUAACCAUAAACGAUGCCAGCUAGCGAUCCGCCGACGUUCCUCCGAUGACUCGGCGGGCAGCUUCCGGGAAACCAAAGCUUUUGGGUUCCGGGG